UACGUAGGUGGCAAGCGUUGUCCGGAUUUACUGGGCGUAAAGGGCGCGUAGGCGGCUUGGUCAGUCCCGUGUGAAAUCCCUCGGCUCAACUGAGGAACUGCACGGGAAACUGCCUGGCUUGAGUUCGGGAGAGGGAAGCGGAAUUCCGGGUGUAGCGGUGAAAUGCGUAGAUAUCCGGAGGAACACCGGUGGCGAAGGCGGCUUCCUGGACCGACACUGACGCUGAGGCGCGAAAGCUAGGGGAGCAAACGGG
rnacentral:rRNA from 1 species